AGAAACUUAAUUUUGAGUUUUAUCUUUUUUGAUUAUAGCAUGUAAAAAAAUUAUAAGACCUAAAUAUUUAGUAUGAAGCCUUGAGAAGAGAUUAGAGCCUAAAGAUGAAACUCUUAAGUAAUAGGAAGCUUAUUGAGAGGGAUGAAAGCAAGACAUGGCUAGGUGAAGGCAAGGAAUGGGGAUCUUCAUUCCUAUUAGUCAAAGGCCAUACCUAAUGGACUU
rnacentral:lncRNA from 1 species